AUUUAAUGUAUUAAUUUAAAUUAAUUGAAUUUUAUGUGAAGUUCAGUAUUAAGUUUAGAAAUGUUGGCGGUGUUUUAUUAAAUUCUGAGAAUCUUGCAUAAUUAAAAUGAUAAUACACAAUUUAUCUUAUCUUAGUUUUAUAGGUUUAUAUAUUGCUGUUUUAUUUAUAUUUUUGUUUAAAUAAAAUAGAUAAAAGGAUUUUUAAAUAAGAAGUUCAAGUCAAAAUAUAGUUUUAUUGAGGUUUGUGUGAGUUGCUUUUAUUUAGAAAAUAAGAAUAAUAAAGUAAAAUGAAAUUUUAUAUAAAAGAGGAUUAGGUUGUAAGGAAUAAUUAAUAAGUUUUCUUGAUAAAUUAUGUAGACAUGU
rnacentral:rRNA from 1 species